rnacentral:rRNA from 1 species
CCUACGGGGGGCUGCAGUGGGGAAUUUUGGACAAUGGGGGCAACCCUGAUCCAGCCAUGCCGCGUGCGGGAAGAAGGCCUUCGGGUUGUAAACCGCUUUUGUCAGGAGAGAAAUCUCUUGGGCUAAUACCCUGAGAGGAUGACGGUACCUGAAGAAUAAGCACCGGCUAACUCCGUGCCAGCAGCCGCGGUAAUACGUAGGGUACUUGCGUUAAUCGGAGUGACUGGGGGUAAAGGUGCAACACAGGGUUGAAAUCCCCGGGCUUAACCUGGGAACUGCACUUGUGACUGCACGGCUAGAGUACGGCAGAGGGGGAUGGAAUGCCGCGUGUAGCAGUGAAAUGCGUAGAUAUGAGGAGGAACACCGAUGGCGAAGGCAGUCCCCUGGGCCUGUACUGACGCUCAUGCACGAAAGCGUGGGGAGCAAACAGGAUUAGAUACCCGUGUAGUC